rnacentral:rRNA from 1 species
GAAGUCGUAACAAGGCUCCGUAGGUGAACUUGCGGAAGGAUCAUUGUCGAU